GUCAUAGCUGUCUAAAAUGCAUCCAAACAUUCAGUAUCUCCUCCCUCUGCAUGCAGACACUGAACUUUCCUCAUAGAGAUUAAUUCAUUCAAUUCAUCUCUAUGAGGAGAUGCUGAUUGGCCAGGGCUGUGUUUGAAUCAUGCUGGCUCUGCCCCGAUCUGCCUCUUUGUCAGUCUCACCCAAUUCCAAAUGGGGAAGCACUGUGAUUGGAUCAGGCUACCACUUCUGAUGAUGUCAGCAGACUGCUUGUUUUUCUGAGUCAAACAGCAUGCAGAGUUACAGCUUCAGGCUUGAAUACAGUACGAUUUUUACUAUAUUUAUGGUGGCAUGAGGGCCCCAGGGGAGCUAGAAGGUGGUUUUAACACUAUAGGGUCAGGAAUACAUGUUUG